ACGGCUACCUUGUUACGACUUAGCCCUAAUUACCGAUUUUACCCUAAACAGCUCCUUGCGGUUACUGUCUUCAGGUCUCCCCGACUUUCAUGGCUUGACGGGCGGUGUGUACAAGGUCCGGGAACGUAUUCACCGCAACAUUGCUGAUUUGCGAUUACUAGCGAUUCCAGCUUCAUGCAGGCGAGUUGCAGCCUGCAAUCCGAACUGAGACUCUCUUUUUGUGAUUGGCUUACUAUUGCUAGCUCGCAACACUUUGUAAGAGCCAUUG
rnacentral:rRNA from 1 species